GAUGAGCGCUGGCGGCGUGCCUAAUACAUGCAAGUCGAGCGAACAGACGAGGAGCUUGCUCCUCUGACGUUAGCGGCGGACGGGUGAGUAACACGUGUAUAACCUACCUAUAAGACUGGGAUAACUUCGGGAAACCGGAGCUAAUACCGGAUAAUAUAUUGAACCGCAUGGUUCAAUAGUGAAAUACGGUUUUGCUGUCACUUAUAGAUGGAUCCGCGCCGCAUUAGCUAGUUGGUAAGGUAACGGCUUACCAAGGCGACGAUGCGUAGCCGACCUGAGAGGGUGAUCGGCCACACUGGAACUGAGACACGGUCCAGACUCCUACGGGAGGCAGCAGUAGGGAAUCUUCCGCAAUGGGCGAAAGCCUGACGGAGCAACGCCGCGUGAGUGAUGAAGGUCUUCGGAUCGUAAAAAUCUGUUAUUAGGGAAGAACAAAUGUGUAAGUAACUAUGCACGUCUUGACGGUACCUAAUCAGAAAGCAACGGCUAACUACGUG
rnacentral:rRNA from 1 species